rnacentral:pre_miRNA from 1 species
GGACAAGGAGAGAAGGCAAGAUGUUGGCAUAGCUGUUGAGUUCAGGGACCUGCUAUGCUGUCAUAUUGCCCUGUUUCCUA